AGGAGAGUUUGAUCCUGGCUCAGGAUGAACGCUAGCGGCAGGCUUAACACAUGCAAGUCGAGGGGCAGCGCGGGUAGCAAUACCUGGCGGCGACCGGCGAAAGGGUGAGUAACGCGUGAGCAACGUGCCCGUAUGUGGGGGAUAGUCGAUGGAAACGUCGCGUAAUACCCCGUAACACAUUUCCCCGCAUGAGGAGAUGUUGAAAGAUUUAUUGCAUACGGAUCGGCUCGCGUGCCAUUAGGUAGACGGCGGGGUAACGGCCCACCGUGCCGACGAUGGCUAGGGGUUCUGAGAGGAAGGUCCCCCACAUUGGAACUGAGACACGGUCCAGACUCCUACGGGAGGCAGCAGUGAGGAAUAUUGGACAAUGGCCGGAAGGCUGAUCCAGCCAUGCCGCGUGCGGGAGGACGGCCCUAUGGGUUGUAAACCGCUUUUGCGAGGGAGCAAUAAGAGUCACGUGUGGCUCGAUGAGAGUACCUCGCGAAUAAGCAUCGGCUAACUCCGUGCCAGCAGCCGCGGUAAUACGGAGGAUGCAAGCGUUAUCCGGAUUUAUUGGGUUUAAAGGGUGCGUAGGCGGUUUGCUAAGCGGGAGGUGAAAUGCCGGCGCUCAACGUCGGAAGUGCCUCCCGAACUGGUGGACUGGAAUGACUCUGCCGUGGGAGGAAUGUGUAGUGUAGCGGUGAAAUGCUUAGAGAUUACACAGAACACCGAUUGCGAAGGCAUCUCACGAAGGGUUGAUUGACGCUGAGGCACGAAAGCGUGGGGAUCAAACAGGAUUAGAUACCCUGGUAGUCCCCU
rnacentral:rRNA from 1 species